UAUUCUCUGAUGUUUGCCAUUAC
rnacentral:siRNA from 1 species